rnacentral:rRNA from 1 species
UGAUUUGUCUGGUUAAUUCCGUUAACGAACGAGACCCCAGCCUGCUAAAUAAUCACGCGAAUGAUUCUUCAUUGGCGAUGGUUUCUUAGAGGGACAUGUUCGAACAACGAACAGGAGGAUUGGGGCAAUAACAGGUCUGUGAUGCCCUUAGAUGUUCUGAACCGCACGCGUGUUACACUGAUGCAUUCAACGAGCUAUUAACCUUGGCCGAGAGGCCUGGGAAAUCUUGGAACGUGCAUCGUGAUAGGGAUUGAUUAUUGUAAUUUUUAAUCAUGAACGAGGAAUUCCUAGUAAACGCAGAUCAUCAAUCUGCAUUGAUUACGUCCCUGCCCUUUGUACACACCGCCCGU